rnacentral:rRNA from 1 species
UACGAAGGGGGCUAGCGUUGCUCGGAAUCACUGGGCGUAAAGGGUGCGUAGGCGGGUCUUUAAGUCAGGGGUGAGAUCCUGGAGCUCAACUCCAGAACUGCCUUUGAUACUGAAGAUCUUGAGUUCGGGAGAGGUGAGUGGAACUGCGAGUGUAGAGGUGAAAUUCGUAGAUAUUCGCAAGAACACCAGUGGCGAAGGCGGCUCACUGGCCCGAUACUGACGCUGAAGUACGAAAGCGUGGGGAGCAAACAGG